rnacentral:rRNA from 1 species
UUUUAAACAGCUGAUAGAGCCAACCCAUCUCUGUUGCAAAAGAGUGGGAUGAUUUUUAAGUAGAGGUGAAAAGCCUACCGAACUUAGAGAUAGCUGGUUAUUCAAGAAAAGAAUUUUAGUUCAGUCCUAAGUCUCUCAAUUAUGUAAAUAAACAGACUAGACUUAGGAACUACUCAAAUAAGGCACAGCUUAUUUGAUAAAGGAGACAACCUAUAAAAAAGGGUAAAACCCAUUACAUUAACCAAGUAGGCCUGAAAGCAGCCACCUUUAAGAAAGCGUUAAAGCUCUAUUAUUUAACCUACCAUAAUACCUAAACACAUUUUAAACCCUUUAUCCCUAUUGAAUGACUCUAUAAUAAUAUAGAAGCCCUAAUGCUAAAACUAGUAACAAGAAAUUGCAUUCUCCAAAAUACAAGCACAAACCAGAAUGGACAAACCACUGGUAAUUAACAUUAAUAAGCCUAAUAUAGUAACAAUGCAAGAAAACCCUAUAAUUUUUAAUGUUAACCUUACACAAGUGUAUUUCUGGAAAGAUUAAAAGAAAGGGAAGGAACUCGGCAAAUUUUAACCCCGCCUGUUUACCAAAAACAUCGCCUCUUGAAUAUCAUAAGAGGUCUAGCCUGCCCAGUGAUAUAUUAAACGGCCGCGGUACCCUGACCGUGCGAAGGUAGCAUAAUCACUUGUUCUCUAAAUAAGGACUAGUAUCAACGGCAUCACGAGGGUUACACUGUCUCCCCCUUCUAAUCAGUGAAACUGACUUUCCCGUGAAGAGGCGGGAAUUUCUAUACAAGACGAGAAGACCCCAUGGAGCUUUAAACCCAAAGGCAACCUUUAUUAACAUCACUUUAAAAUUUCUAAGCUUCUGCCUAUUGGUUUUAGGUUGGGGUGACCACGGAGUAAAACCUAGCCUCCACGACGAAUAGAUUUCUUCAUCUUAAUCUUAGAGCCACCGCUCCAAGAAUCAAAAACUUGACGCAACCUGAUCCGAUUUCUCGAUCAACGAACCAAGUUACCCUGGGGAUAACAGCGCAAUCCAUUUUAAGAGCCCCUAUCGACAAAUGGGUUUACGACCUCGAUGUUGGAUCAGGGUAUCCCAGUGGUGCAGC